GACGUUAUUCCUGAUAGCCUACUACACUGUUCGUAAACUAAGGAUAAUGGAAAGUGGUUGAGGUUAUGGUGUAAUGACUUAGUUUCAUUUGUUUUUAAACGCACUUUAUUAAUAGCCAGCUAGAUUGAUAGAUGAUUUAGUUCCUCAACUUCCCAAAAAUUUCAAACAAAAAAUAGUAAUGCCAAAGUGAUUAAUCGAGUUUAUAAAUAUGUGACAUCGAGUAUAUAACCUCCUUGAAUGAUAUGGAUGAAAUGAUGUACCUCUUCCUUGUGGGGUUGUUAUGGGGAGUGACUAAUCCAUUGAUAAAGAAGGGGUCUGCUGGAGUCUCUAAAGUUGAAGGAGGCAAUGUCUUUGUCAGAUUCUUCAAGGACAUCAAGUUUUUUGUUACCAACUGGAAGUGCAUGAUCCCAUUUCUGGUCAACCAAAGUGGCUCAGUUUUGUAUUACUUCACCUUGAAAUCUGCAAAUUUAACUUUUGCAGUUCCUAUCACCAACUCUGUAGCAUUCCUAGUGACAGCAAUCACAGGUUGGUGCCUGGGAGAGUCUGCACCCAAACCAAGAACAAUUUUAGGAUCAUCUCUUAUUGUCCUAGGAACAGCUUGCUACAUCUUCGACAAGACUUAAAGGCUGGACACAACAUAUGGAAUCAAUUUCCAAUUAUAUAAUAUUAAUGUACAUUCCUGAUAUGGAGGAAAUCCAAAUCACUCAACAAACACAACAAGGCCAUUAUACUACACUGAAGUUAAAAAUAUAGUUGCUAUAAUUGUAAACUUUAAGCAAUGAAGCUAAUUAAUGAAGGAACUGUCUCCAGACAUUGACUCAUUGAAGGGUGAGUGCAAAUUUCCUCUGGUCAAUACAGUCAACUGCAUGUGUGUAAUUUGUACAAUCCAACGAUAGAGAGGGGUGAUGUGUGUGUUGAUAAGACUGCAUGCAACCACCAUGGUUAUGAUUAUUCUUGUCUCUCUCUCUCUUUUAUUACUCAUGGUGACUCAAGUAUAACCAACAUUUCCCUAUAACCUUUUUAUAAAUAAAAGUAUACAUAAAUUAAAAAAAAACAGGUUUGUGGCAACAUAAUUCUGAAGAACAGGUUAUUUUUAUACAAUUAUUUUUGAAAAUUUGUAUCAUGUGAAAUUCAGGAUUCAAUAUUUUCAAAUAAGACCAGCAGCAUGUAAUUUUAAUUUUGUUUUAUCUUGAUAAAACAACAAUCCCAAAUAACACAAUAAAUUAGGGACAGUUAACAAUCUGUUAUGUAUGAUACAAAUGAGCCAUACUCAAAUGAGCAUACUGUAGGAAGUUUGUCAAAAAGGAACUAAUAAUGUUAGUAAGGUGUAAAAUUUUACAAUUAUGAUAAUUAAAAGUGGUUUUUUAUCAUACAAGAGUUGCUUAUCCAAUAAUAAUGUAACAAGCUUUUUAUAUAUUUACAAUGGCUCUAUACAAAGACUAGGUAAAUGUCAUUCAAUAUUCUGUGGAAUAAGCACAAUGACUCAUUGUUCACUGGGUCAGAGUUAAUUGGUGACACUGUUCAAACAUUUUCUAUAUUCAAGUUAAGAAGUACAAGGGUGAAAUAAGAUGCUAAAUUCUGUGAGGUUUACUUUUGAGUUAUGCCUAAACUCUUUUUAUGUCACUUUCUUAAAGAAAAUACAUUUGGAUCCUUAUUCCUAAGAAGUGCCCUUAAAAUAAAAAAAAUUACAUACGAUUUUUUUUUAACAGCGUUAUUUAUGCCUACCUCCACAUCAAUUUUAAAUUUUUCAAAUGUGCAAGUGGGUUUAAAUAACUAUAUGUUAUCAAUUAUUUAUAUUAACAUGUUAAUAUUGUUUGAAAUAAAUUAUGAUUUAAAUCAAAUAGAGCAUGUUUGUACUAUGUGUACCGGCUCCAUGGAAUCAGGCAUUUUGUGAAAUCAUUUAUUUAUUUUCAAGUUAUCCCAUUGAUACAUUAUAGACAUGUCCUGAAAUAGUGUGUUUGUAGAGUUGUCUAUGGGAAAUCUCUUGCAGAGCCGCAAUCGGAUAUUACACAUAUACACAUGAGGCUACAGCAAAAUCACAAAUUGCUGAUAAUUAUUAGAUCCUCCUUAGAAAAACUGUACUCCUGACCCUUACUCAGGUCAACAGAUAUUGUGAGAUAUACAAGAGCUGAAUAGUUAAAUUGCAAAUAUUUAAAACUCGUUGUUCUGUAGAUACAUAGCAUGUUGUUCAUAAAAAUACCUAUCAUCCAUGAAAUGGCUACGUUCUGUAACUGAGUUGAGAUAAUUUACUUUCACCUGAGAGGAUGUGCAAGUAAUCAAAGAGAGAGUGAGGUACACAUUUAGUUUGAUAAUUUUGCUUACAAAGUGUCACCAGUUUUUAUUUAUUAGUAUGCUCCUAAAUUCCAGAUUCCAAUCUCUAAUUCAUCUUUCCUUACUCAGAGAUGAUCAGAUAAAUUUUUGCAUGGCUCCGUGUUAUGGAAGAGGGUAAUUCAGACAUUAGGAGGGUAGCAAACCGAUUACUAAUGCAUCUUAACCUAAAAUCGUUCUAAAAGCAUAACCUCAGAGUAAAUGGUAUCAGCAAGCUUUUAUGUACUUACUUGGUGCAACUGCCAAAUAUCUAAAAUGAUUGCCCUUUGCAUGUAUUUUAAGAAGGAUUUGAGGAUUCCAAUAACACUCUUAGUAAUAGAAACAUUUAUUUAAGUCUUGUAUUAGUUACAAUACAUUAUUUACAUAAUUCUUUGUUAUGAAUGAGGAAAUGGAUAUUAUUAACAUGAGAUUAAGGAACCCUCGGUUAAUGCGUUAUAGUAGUUAAUGAGGGCAAACUGAAAUGUUAAUGGUCUUACAUUUUGUUUAUAUUUCGGUCAAUGCUCUUGAUUUUGUCAUGUUCAAGUACUGGUUUGAUAUCUUUAUCGAAUUAUUCUUUCAGCUGUUAAAAUACUUGAGAAUUAUAAUGAUUGUAAUGGCGAACAGUUACAACAGUAUCAUAAAUGGAUGUUUUGAUUGAUGGGACUAGUAGUUCAUUAUUUACAAGCAAAACUAAAAAAAGUAUUGUCUUUAAAAUAAAUUAUAAUUAAAUUAUGAUAUUACAACGAUAAGAAACUGAAUAUCUAAUGUGAAACAUCUCAUUUCAGUCCCAACAAAUAGUUAAAAUCCAUUAUUAUAUCAAAAAGUUCAAGGAUUGAUUUUCACAUUAAAUAACACAUUUUGAUCAGAGUGGUAAUAGAAUUCACAGUUUAAUUAUACUAGAAUGUAUAUUUCCUUCACAUUUAAGUACUUUUGAUGCAGGUUGUGUGUUGAAUAAAGAAA
rnacentral:misc_RNA from 1 species